ACUCCUCACAAUAACCGUAUCCCAUUCAGAGACACCACAGCUCUCUGUGAGGGAUAAAUAAGAUUUAGCUGGCAGAGCUAGAUAAUGAUCCACUCAGCAUGAGAGCUCAGUGCUCCUCAUCUCCAUCUCAUCUCCUGCCUCUCUCACUGUGCUGCUGUGACGUCAGUAUUGUACUUCACUAAUGAAGAGGACUUCAGUAAAGAUCUAUACUAGAACAUUCUCACAACAGGCAUAUUCUUGCUCUAGGGGGGGUUUUCAUAUCAAAGCACAGAUAAACGGAUAAAUCCAAGUGUGUGUGUGACUAACUGUGUGUGUGAGAUUCAAAGAGCUGAGCAGGCAGCCUAUGUCUUUGGUGUACUAUUGCUUUCAUUUAAGCCCGGGAGAGAGAAGCUAGCCUGCCCGGGAGAGAGAAGCUAGCCUGCCCGGGAGAGAGAAGCUAGCCUGCCCGGGAGAGAGAAGAUAGCCUGCCCCCCUGAGGCAUGUGACAACACAAUGGUUUAAUGAUCUGUGUCUGUUCUGCUGCUGCUAGUUUGUGAGACUGCUGCAGCACAGAGUGCUGAAUACAGGCAGUCAAGCUGGCCUGGCCAGUAGAAAUACACUGUAAGUCAGUGUUUCUCAGAGUGCUGAAUACAGGCAGGCAGCAGAUUCUCUGGCCUGGCCAGGAGAAAUACACUGUAAGUCAGUGUUUCUCAGAGUGCUGAAUACAGGCAGUUCAGCAAGCAGCAGAUUCUCUGGCCUGGCCAGGAGAAAUACACUGUAAGUCAGUGUUUCUCAGAGUGCUGAAUACAGGCAGGCAGCAAGCAGCAGAUUCUCUGGCCUGGCCAGUAGAAAUACACUGUAAGUCAGUGUUUCUCAGAGUGCUGAAUACAGGCAGGCAGCAGAUUCUCUGGCCUGGCCAGGAGAGAUACAUUAUGUCAGUGUUUCUCAGAGUGCUGAAUACAGGCAGGCAGCAGAUUCUCUGGCCUGGCCAGGAGAGAUACAUUAUGUCAGUGUUUCUCAGCCUGUUCCUCUGGGAGUGGGAGAUCCCUAGUUGUUCCACCACUAGUCAACUAGCCCAAUGCUCAAGCCCUUGACUAGUUGUGUGACGUGAGCUAGCUAGGUCAAAAAUGUGGAGCGGCAGGAUGUUUCCAAGGAACACAGAUGAAAUGGAGAAACCCACUGCUACAUAGACCUAACAGGAAUGUGGUGGUCGCCCCAGCAGUGCUGUCCCAUCCAGUCACGUAGACCUGAGUUGAGGAGAAACACCCUGAAAGUGAUCUGUAAGGCAAGCCUUCCUGGCCUGCUGGGGCCUCAGUCAGUGGAAUGGCAGAAGUGUGCUUUACUGCCUUCCUUGGAGAUGACCUGAGGUCAGGUCUAACUGUAGCGGAUGAACAGAGGUCAGGUCUAACUGUAGCGGAUGAACAGAGGUCAGGUCUAACUGUAGCGGAUGAACAGAGGUCAGGUCUAACUGUAGCGGAUGAACAGAGGUCAGGUCUAACUGUAGCGGAUGAACAGAGGUCAGGUCUAACUGUAGCGGAUGAACAGAGGUCAGGUCUAACUGUAGCGGAUGAACAGAGGUCAGGUCUAACUGUAGCGGAUGAACAGAGGUCAGGUCUAACUGGAGCGGAUGAACAGAGGUCAGGUCCAACUGUAGCGGAUGAACAGAGGUCAGGUCCAACUGUAGCGGAUGAACAGAGGGUCAGGUCUAACUGUAGCGGAUGAACAGAGGUCAGGUCUAACUGUAGCGGAUGAACAGAGGUCAGGUCCAACUGGAGCGGAUGAACAGAGGUCAGGUCUAACUGGAGCGGAUGAACAGACAUGGUUGGAUUUCCUGUUCAGACUACUGGUUGUUUCCUUGUCUUCUGCACCUGUUUUGGUCAAUAGUGAACAUACUCUCCCCCCCCCCACACACUCACACACACACACACUCCCCCACACACACACACUCCCCCACCACACACACAGCGUUAAUCCCUGGCUUCUGAUCUGCGUGUAGUCUUUCAUGUAAAGCCAGCCCUGUGAUGCCUGGUAACCCGAUACAGCCGCUAUUGAUGGUGAUGCUGUUGAUAUUCAGGAGAGGAGAGCAGCCUGCCAUGUUGCUCUCCCUGGUUGGUCCUGGGAUGCUGCUGUGUGGUCUGGGCUGAUAGGUGGAAGGCCCAUUAUCAAAAAUAUUGUUUGGCUUUGGAUGAUUUAAACAGUCUGGGCCUGGGCUAUAGGGCCUGGGCUAUAGGGCCUGGGCUAUAGGGCCUGGGCUAUAGGGCCUGGG
rnacentral:lncRNA from 1 species